GGGGUUGUAGUUAACUAUAACAUUUAAUUUGCAAUUAAAAAGUACUGUAUAAGUCUACCUCA
rnacentral:tRNA from 1 species